CCUCUUUUGUUGUAGCCUUGUGUAGCAACGACGCGUGGGGAUAGUAUUCAUAUGGUCUGUUCUCUGCUUUUAUCAAAGAGCAAAUCUCACGGUACCUGAUGACUGUUCGUGGGUAAUUCUGUUCCAAUAGACGUGGUAAUUUGGGUUCGAAUUCAUUAUCUUGAUUUUUUGGGUUUAAAGAUAACGCAGGCGGACUACUAAGUCCGCUGGGCCGAAGUGGAGCUUAACUUCUUUAUGGCUGUUGCAACUCUUGGGCUCGCGUGUGAAAGGGGCAGAGGCAAUUUCCUGUGUAGCUGUGAAAUGCGUAGAUUUCGGGAAGACCACCAGUGGCGAAGGCGCUCUGUUGGGCCUUCAUUGACGUUCAUGGAUGAAAGCCAGGGGGGAGAAAGGGAUUAGAUACCCCUGUAUCUCUGGCUGUAACCGAUGAACUCUAGGUGUGGGGAGAAUUGACCCUCUCGUGUCGAGCCAAGGAGUAAGUGUC
rnacentral:rRNA from 1 species